GGCCGGUAUGAAUGGCGUUACGAAGGCCCCACUGUCUUAAGAGGACUCUCCAUGAAAUUGAAUUCGUAGUGAAGAUGCUACGUCCAUAUUGUAAGACGAAAAGACCCCAUUGAGCUUUACUAAAGACUUGCAUGGCUCAAAAUAAUUUGAUUUAAAUAAAAAGUUUAGAUAAUGUGGGACCCGUUUUCGGUUAAUGAAACACCACUCUUUUAUUUUAAGAGAGCUAACAUUACAGGGAUAGUGUAAGUUGGAUAGUUUGGUUGGGGCGACCACCUUUUAAAAGGUAACGAAGGUGAGCUUAAGGUCCGUAGUUAAUAGCCGGUGGCCUGACUGCAAGGGGGACGUCUCGAGCAGACACGUCCUUAGGGAUGUGGACUAUAGUGACCCGUCAUC
rnacentral:rRNA from 1 species